ensembl:lncRNA
CUAUAAUAUAAUGAUACUAUAAUGGAAACUGUAUGUUGACUCUGAGCCUAUUGUACAAGAAAUAUAGAUAAAAGUGUGUCUGUGUGAUUUUAUUCUUUAAGGCACACACGUGGCUCACUUGAAAUUGUUAUUGAAUUAUUACAAGUAUUAAUUCAUCUCUAUUUUUUUUAAUCUCUACUUAAGUCUACUCAAAUUAUCUGACUGGCCAAUAGAUGGUGCUGUGGUUCAAUGCUGACGAAGAUUGAGUGCUAGAGACUACAAAUCCCAGAUCUUUAUUGAGUUUAAAGGUAGUUCACACGUGACUAAUUCAUUCUUUCGUUUUCCAGGUAAUUAUUAAGAGCCCAUCAAGUGUGAUUGUCUUCCCAACACACACAAGGUCAAAGGCAGCAGUAGGUACAUUCAGUUGGAGGUAUUUCCUGGGCUCAGAGGACCGAGAUGGCCUAAGUCACCUGUUUGGGAGAGACUAUUGACUGUGUAACAUGCAGCUCUGCUACCUUCUGUGAUCAUCUCAGACAGUGCUGCAAGGGGGUGAAGCCAGAGUUUCAAGUCUUACUGAGAUCUGCCUAGUCUCCUAAAUUACACCCAAGCACUUCUUGUAUAAUCAAGCCAGGGAUUGGUCAGGAUUCCACAGUAGGGACAUGGAUUCCAACUUUUAAUGAGAAAGUGAUGAAUUACAUUGUAAAGGGGCGUGCAUGCUAUGAUAGGAGCAUUUUUUUUUAUCUGUGAAAACAAGUAAAGAAACAAACAGUAGUGGAACAGCUCUGCUUGCAUUCUGCCAUCUUCCUGUCAAACUGUCACAGUCAAAGCCAGAGUUUGCAAUUUUUAUAGAAAAAAGUAGCCUACAUUAAGAAAAAAUGUCUAUUAGGCAAGUAAGGCCAUUGUCUUGGUGAGGAGUAAAGGCAGAUAUGGGUUUGCACAACCAGUCACGUGGGCUGAGCAUCCCUCCCCAUUGCUUCACCAGAUGGUAAGGCAGGUAUAGUGGAAAGAGAUAGUAUGGAAGAAUUCACCUGUGCUCUUCUAGUAUUUGAUGCUAUUACACAGCAUUAAUUAACCGUUCCUAUGAUGAUAUUAAAUAUACCAGAAUGAUGUUAUUUAAGUUACAACUUUUUUUGAUAAAUUGCUUCACUUAAUACACCUCUGUUGUACUUCAAGUUCUUUACACACCACUAUCUGUAAAUAUAACAAUCUUGAAAAGCAAAUAUUGCUCCCUGUGUUACAGAUGAGAAAACUGGUGCCUAGGAGAGACCCUAGAUCUCCAUAUGUCUAGUCAAUUAUUCACGCUUGUAUUUGAAUUCAAUUGAAUUCAAAUCUUGCUGGAUAUUGUAUUUUGUUCAGCCCAUUUACAUCCCCUGUGGUAGAUAGGUAGUAGAAUCUACUCAGUAAGAUGAGACUGGAAAUUGCAGUGCAGAGCUUAUAAGACAGCAUCAUCAAAAGGGUUUGCCUCUUCUGGUAUGGACAUCAUUUCUGCUGAUCUGUUCUACUUUGAUGAAUAAAUAAGCUGUGAUGGCCGGAGCUCCAGCAACUAUAAUAUCGGUAUAAUCCCAUUGCCAGACUAUGAGCAUGGUAAACCAGGCAUCUCAAAGAAGCAAGAGCCUUGAAGAAGUUGUGAGAUUGACUGCUCAGUUCUGCGAGAGCAAAUACUAUCCUCAUCUUAUUGAAGUUAGGGUGGCUUUUCUUAUUUAACAACUACACUUACCCCCAGUAUUGAAGAUGUGGGACAUGCUCUUUUUAUAAUGUUUUAGCAUCAUGCUUUACCUAAAAUUGAAACUGUAGUUAAUUGUAGAAAUAAUAAAAUAACUUCACAGAUCCAAGAAUGUCCAUUCUCCUUUCAAGUGUGUACUCCAAUACAAAACAGAAACAAUUUUUGUCUUAAGAUCUGUGAACUUGUAUCUUUAAGGUUAACUCCCUUUCCCUUCUCUGCCUCUGAGAACCAGUGUCCCUUGCUUUUGUUUAGACUCUGCGGCACUAAGACAUUUACAAUGCUCUGAUAUUCAGAUCCCAUGCACUAAAUCAGGCUGUCUUCACAUGGCAUCUGUUUAAGAAGUCCUUGGGAGGUUGAUGAGACUAGAACAUCAUUAGGUUCUCACACUGAUUGUAAGGCUUCUACAGGAGUCAUUUUGUGGCAGGACUCAGGAAUUUGCAUUUUUGCCUAGUGGUUCCAGUGAUUAGGCAAGGGACUCACAGCCUGGCCUCUGGGAAACCCUUCAGAACCUUUCUGCUUAACGAGCACCUUGUGCUGUGUUAUCUGACCCAUGGUCCCAAAAUGCAGACAGGAAUGAGCUUUGGGUGCCUUUAACAGUCAGAGAAGCAGUGAGCAAGCAUAUGCUGUGGUUUAAAUAUGGAGGUAUUAUUAAAAUUUCCUUUCAUGUAAGUCCCACUGUGGCAUAAACACCAAAGGCGAUUUCUGAAAAGUGGUGGCAAGGUAAUCUGGCUUUUUCUUUUUUCACUGUGGAAGAGCCCUUGUAUUGAAUUUGCACUCAUUGGCAUGGCUGGCACGAACUACACCAGAUGGACAGACUAUUUGCAGAGAAUUGCCCAUACCAUCUCUCAAAGGACAUAAUUUAAAACUUUAAAAAGUCAGAAAUUUAAUAAGGGUUUGGAAGUGUUGCCAACGAAUGAUUUCCUCCCGAUUUUGCAUGUUAAAGGCAUCGAGAAGAGAAAUGCAGUGGACCAGGCCAGGAAUGGAGACAUGGGUGAAGUUAAGUCAGACUGCUUUCUUUGCUAAUGAGGCUGCUGCUGCUUCUGUUACCAUGCAACUGUAAUUCUGUCUUCCCACACAGAGUCAUCUGAGAAGAGGGAACCUCAAUUGAAAAAAGAAAAAGUUUCCAUACGAUCAGCCUGCAGGCAAGCCUGUGGAGAAUUCUCUUGACUGACGAUUGAUGUGAAGACCUGAUCCUCCUGUGGGUUGUGCCACUCCUAGGCUAAUGGUCCUGAGGUGCAGAAGAAAGUAAACUGAACAAGCCAGAAGUAUUAAGCAAGUAGACAGCAUUCUUCCCUGCUCUCUGUCUCAGUUCCUGCCCCGCAGGUCCUGCCUAGGCUUCCCUCAGUGAUGGACUAUCGUCUGGAAGUAUGUAAAAGAAUGUGAGGACGGGAAUGCAAUGGCAGAGUCCCACAGAUAAAUAUGUCAAAACACAUCAGAAUUUCUGAGCCUAUGGUGGAACCUGCAUUGCAAGCAAGCUGCUAGGUUCAGCGUGUAUCCAAAUUUAACCUGCUAUCAGAAGAAAUCUGCCUCCUCUUGAACAUCAAAUAGCAUUUAUACAAAUCAUCUAUGACCCUUGUAGCCUGCUUCCUUCACUGCUAUAUUUUAUUAAAUAAUAGGUUUUACUUCACUUGUGUAAUGCUCAUUUACAUGGUCCUGUGUUAUGGAAGGAUAUCAUUAUAUAAGUAUAUUAUGAACUUACUAAGUAUUUUGAGUUUAUUCCCCUUCCACCCCUCCAUUUGUCUCCUUCAUUGCCCUACAAAGUUUGCUUCUGUUUUUACAUAAUAUAUUUAUGCAUCAUUUUAUGUACCUAUAUAAAAACCUAGGAGCCAAAAAUGGAAAAAACAUGUGGUUGUUUGAAUGAG